AUUAGCCAAGGUCCCUUUUUGUAUUUAAAUGGCCGAUUCGUCAGGAACGGCAGUUCGAGUCCCUUGGUUCACUGCUUUCCGGUGUGUAAUGCUAUCGAUGCUGAAAGGUAUUCGUGGGUAUACAAACGCGUCCUGUGGUGUGUGUAUGUGCUUCACUGAAGGUCUGUGCUGGAGACGCCGAGUAGGGACCAGUCUCGCUCACGCUAACCGGAAGGCACGUAGAGGCACCAGGAACAAGGGCACGCGUGGUGUGUUGGUCUCUCCCCUUCCCAGAAAAGUGGGGAUCGAACCAGCGACCCUUUAGUUACGAUUCCUGCUCCAUAACUAUGCUACAUUGACUGAACUUAGAACAUGCAAGAGACGGUGGUCCAGGUCGCUCUCGCAUUGGAAGGCAGAGCGCUGCAGAUCCUCAUGGGCCUCCAGCCAGAGGAGCGACUCAACUGGCCAUUGAGAUGGCAAUACAGCACUGUUUUGUGCACACGCUGAUGACGCCAGUGACAAGGUAGUUGGCUGCCGGAGGGAAGAGGGAGAGAGCCUGUGUGUCUACGCUGCGGACCUCUGCCUGUACGGCCGGCGUGGGCACCCAACUUUUGAUGCCACGACGCAGGAAGAGUUCACUCUCCAGGCCUUCGUCCGGGGGUCCAGCCAGAAUGACUCCGAGGGCACAUCCGCCUGCUCAUGCCAGGGACCCUGAUGGCAGCCCUACUCGAGGCAGAGCUGGUUGAGCAUGUGCUGCGCAUGGGAGAUCGUCCGCCCCCCCAGCAUGAGGCACCAAGUGCGGCAGGCAGAUUACGAAGGGAGCGGCGAGGAAGAAGUGACUUGCCAGGCCACCACCACACCGCCACAAUGACCUCUGCGGGGAACCAGAAGAGUGGCUGGGCAAUCGGCAGGGGGGUGCUAUCAGUGCGGAGAGCCGGGCCACAUUGCACAUCACUGCCAGGCGCCGACCUCACAGAGCACAGCAUCUCAGCCGCCAUUAAACUGAAGCAGGGUGGCACAAUGGGGGAACUGCCACCCGCCAACAACCCUCCUUCCCUCGCCAAGUCACUGCUGUGGCUUUGCCAGCUGGGCCAGACACAUGGGCUGUACCUGGACUGCAACCUCAAUGGCACCCCAUGCCAAGCCCUGGUGGAUACGGGGUCCACCAUUUCUCUGGUCCGCCCAUGGUCACCAGCGAACGCGCAAAGAUGCAAGAGGAAAGGUUGCUCCAGGUGUC